GUGCUCGCUUUGGCAGUACAUAUACUAAAAUUGGAACGAUACAGAGAAGAUUAGCAUGGCCCCUGUGCAAGGAUGACAUGCAAAUUUGAAAAGUGGUCCAUAUUUAA
rnacentral:snRNA from 1 species